rnacentral:lncRNA from 1 species
AGUGGUAUAGCAAUUACAGACUCACUGAAAUUUAUAUAAAUAUGAAGUAGGCUUACCUCAGGGGAAUAUAUAGAGGCAACUGUAAAGGUUCCCAUGGCAUUCAUGCGAGCUCCAAAUAAUAAGCAAGUAGUUAACACAGCAGGCUGCUGGAUUAGCAGUGGUGUGAGGAAAAUAAAUGCUAAGCCGAACAUAAUUGCCAUCGAAUGCUUGCGGCCAACCCUAUCAACCAAUAUUGCUGACAGAAGAAGCCCAGGUAGCUCUGCAGCAUAAACCAAGUUUAAUUUUUUUUUUAAGAAAAAGAAGGAAGAGCAUAAAGAAGGAAGUGAGAAUGAGACAUAAUACCUGCCAUACUGGUGAUGAAUGCAUUUAGGUAGAGACCAUCAUCCUGGGGAUUUAUAUUGCUUUGGAGAGAUGGGAAACAUGUACUUUGUCCACUACUUAGCUUAGAGGUAAGCAAUAUGAUACCAUAAUAUGAAAAUGAAUCUCCAAAGAAUAAUACCCAUAGGAGCAGCGUUGUUCUAAUUAAUUUUGAAGAGAAAAGCAUAAAAAAUGAUGAGAAGCCUGAUUUUGAUUGUGUGGUACUUUUACUGAGU